CAAAUUACUUUAGUAAGACGAUCUCAGGCCCAUAACACAAUGAGCAGCCCAAAUUUUUAAAUUAUACGUUUAAGAAGAAGAGACUGUGUAGACAUACAGUGUUUGACCAGUAUAUUAUUUCUGACCACACCCGAUUUGGCACUCAAUUACGAAGAAGAACCGCUGCUAGCAGAAAUGGAUCUGAAUAUGAAAGUCAAAGGGCCGGUGCAGUGCCGUAAAUAUAAAAUAUGCAACAUAGGUGGUACAUUUAGCAGCUUUAUGCUAAUAGUAGACAUAUAGGUCAACGAAGAGGAUUAUCUAUAAGUUUCACUUUACAACGCAAGUGUAAACCGAUAAGAAAGUGUUAAUUUGACAAUUGUCGGCGCUGUCGGUGGGAGCCAAGUGGCGGCAUUAUUCGGUUGAUUAACGUUGAAGAAGAUAUUGGGUUGUCCCGGUACUUAGCACCAUGCCAUGAUGAGACGUGGCCGAGUGGAGGCAAAGCUUCACGUAGUAAUCUCGGCACUAGAUGGAGAUGGCUUCCUGGUUAUUCACUAUCAUGGUCAUCCACUGGGGUUGGCAACUGGGAAUUUGUUCAGCAGCAGGUGGAACAGAAUCUAUCACCCUCCUUAUUCAAAAGUAUUCUGAUUCUACGGGGAUUAUAACCAUUGAGCAGAUGCAACAUAUCCUUGACCGAAUUCACAAUUGUUCAUCUGACAGUAAUAAUGUAGACACUGCCAAUUCUGUGCGAAGAAACUGCGCAUCUAAUGAAGACUGCAGCCAUAUGAACAAUACAUGUCUGUCAGCAGUAGACCUGUUUAGGAAGCUGAAUAUAAAAGAUGGGAAACUGAACAUUACUUCAUUUGAACUUGCCUGUCCUGUGAUCUUGGAACACUUAGAGAGUCAAGUCUGCAGCAGAGAACAACUUGGUCCAGACAAUGCUGACUUGAAAACUAAGCCAUCUGAAACUGAAGUGUGGGGACUGGGUUUCCUCUUCGUUACAAUAAUCAGUCUGUGCUCUCUGCUGGGUGUCAGUGUAUUGCCUCUCAUGGAUAAGGUCUUCUACAAGCAGCUGCUUACUGCUCUGAUUGGCCUUGCUGUUGGCUCUCUUGCAGCAAGUUCGCUCUUUCAUCUGAUCCCACAGGCAUUUGGUCUCAUGAACUCGGACAUAUACCACCAUUACUUAAAUCGGUCGUUGAUGAUGUGGGCAGGUAUCUGGGUAUUCUUCAUGACUGAAAGGAUUAUGAAAAUGAUAACUGAUAACAGACAGAAAAAUGGACGUCCUUCAGCAUGCCAAUAUCCAACCAAUGAAUUGUCUGUGGAAGUUGUGUCAAGCAUCUCAAGUCCCACGGAGCUCGUUCCCCAUAUUCAUCAUGAACUGGAGCCCCUUCAAGUACAUGAGUGCUCAGAACAGCAUGUGCGUCAGGAAGCCAACUGCCUUCAAACAAAUCCUGGAAUUAUAUAUGACUACCAGGAGCAAGCUAUAAAGGCUUCUUUUGGCCACCAGGAGAAACCUCGACUCAGCCAUGCACAUGGACAUGAGCAUUUGAUGCAUUUUGAACAAGGAAAGGACAGUGCCAUUGCAACAGUUGCUUGGAUGGUUGUGUUUGGUGAUGGGCUUCACAAUUUUAUUGAUGGAUUAUCCAUUGGUGCAGCAUUCAAUGAGAGCUUGCUCACUGGUAUCAGCAUAAGUGUGGCUGUAAUGUGUGAGGAGUUUCCUCAUGAGUUAGGUGAUUUUGCAGUACUUUUAAAUGCUGGCAUGACAAUGAAGCAGGCUCUUAUCUACAACUUCCUAUCUGCUUGCACAUGUUACAUUGGUUUGGUGUUUGGGAUCAUGCUAGGUGAAAUUGAAGCCAGCAGUUAUAUCUUUGGGUUUGCAGCUGGAAUGUUCAUGUACAUAUCACUUGUAGACAUGGUCCCAGAAAUGAAUGAGGUAGCAGAAGAGGCUAGCAAAGUAAGCUUGAAGAAAGCCUUCCAGACCUUGCUGUUGCAGAACAUUGGCAUGGGUAUAGGUGUUUUAGCUCUCUAUAUACUGGCACGUUAUCAAGACAGCAUCAAUUUCGGUUGAAGAAUUCAACUCUGUUAAGACUCCUGUUUUCAGAACAAUGUUUGACUGAAAUUAGUUCACUAGUGUGUGUGUUUAUGUGCUAAAAUAUGAAUUUGACUCAUGUAAUAGACUGCAUUUACAUUUCAGAAGGCCCCUUUAAAAGAAGUGAAGGAAUCUCUGAAUUUGCUACCUGCAUAUAAUGAUUUAUGUGGAUUUCAUAGGACUGAACAAAUAACGUACAUCUGUAUAUACUUCGGUGAAGCUACGUUCUUUUACUUUAUCUUAUCAAAUACGUAUAAUGAGCACUCUAAAAGUUGAAAGGUUGAAUUGAAGAUAAAAUUUUUUUCAUAGUGAUUUGACAUAUUUAUUGAUUAGUUUCCAAAUACAAUAAAUACCUAUCCAUGUAUUAAUACUUAAUAUAAGCCUGCCUAAAUGGUUUAUGCAAUUGAUGUUAUUUAUUAGGCAACUGUAAAAAUCGUCUUAUGACAAGAAGAAAAGAAGCAGUAUAUCGACCAUCGGCAGGAGAUAGUCUCAUAAAUUAUAAACAUUUUUGCAUAAGAAAUUGAUACAUAUAUUAUCACUUAUAAUGAACUGGGCCAGUCAUUCUGCUACAGUAACUUAGCUACAGAUCCAGUUUCUUGUCAUUUAUAAACAAAAUCUCAAGCAUAGAGAAUGUAUUUUAGAAAAGGAAAUGAAAAACAAUAUGGCCUUGCCCUACCCAUUGUGUGCUUCUGGUGGUUGGAUUUACAGGCUGUAAGCAGCUCUCGCAAUAGAGCUGUCAAGUGGUUCCUCUGUCAGCAUUCCCUUGAAGUCUUUCCAACUGUAGGCUGAAAACCUUGUAAAGCUUCCUGUGCUCUAAAAUGUCUUCCAUACACCAAGUAAGUGACUGCUGAUAGAUUAAUUUUGCACGGUGACAGUGAUGCUUACCUAACAGGUAAAGUAAGGGAACAUUGGAUGAAAGUAAUGCAGAAAAUGAGGAAGGCAACACCGUACAGUCAGACAACAGCUUGAGUGAGACUUAUGAGGAUGGAGAUUUCCUAGGUGACUGCUGUAGUUUGGAAGGCGAAACUGUAUUGUCAGACAACAGCUUGCACAAGACACAUGAGGACGGAGGUGUUCUAGGAGACUGCAGUAGUUUGGAAGGCGAAACUGUAUUGUCAGACAACAGCUUGCACAAGACACAUGAGGACGGAGGUGUAGUUUGGAAAGCAAUGAAGCACCUAGAGUAUCCUUAUUUAUGAAUUUUUGAUGGUGGAAAGUAUCAUGUCUAUUUGAAGACACCUGACAGAGAUGAAUGUCUCGUGUGAUCAGCGUAUGUACGCUCUGUAUGGAUGUUCUAUGUAGACCUGUGUUUUAAAUUCUAUCACAGAUUUGACUUUUGAAUAUUGGACAGACGUCUGACACCAUAAUAUGUGAUAUGUUUGCAUACAUGUGAAUAUAUAAAUAUUCACAUAUUUUUAUAAUGUUUCAGAUUUAUACCCAUUUCCAGAGGACACAAAAAAUAUUCAUGUAUAAAUAAUUUAAAGCAUGAAAACAUGUUUAGUUAUCAUUCAAGACACAUUUUGUUUUAGGUUUUUGUUCACAGUACUGGAAAAGUUAACUUUUAAUUGAAUUAGAAACUGCAAAUUUAAAUCUGGCCAGGGCAUUUAAAUUUAAUAUAAUAAGAGAUCAGUACUUUUUUGAAUUGUUCAUUGAAAUUUGUUAUUUAAAUAUAAAUUUUAUGAAGUUUUCAGAAUAAUGUGUAUGUGAUAAUAUACUAUAAAAAUCACUGGUUUUCAUGGAACUGUUCACUCUUAGAAUGGUCAGUACUUUUAGAUUUAUCACAUUCAUUGCAUUUGCUUCCUAGCUUGUCUGAUUCAAACUGUAUGCCAUCAUCUGCCCUAUUCAUUACAUUAGGUGUGCAGUUAGAGGAAGUGCAAGAUUUCUAGAUGUCAACAGUUCAUUUUACUUCUUUGAGCAGCCCUUAAAAAAGUCUUACCACAUUAAUAUUAAUAUUUAACUGUUCCUCGGCACCAAAAAAUAAGGCUUAUGUUGUCAAGAAUCAGCAUCAUUGAUUUGCUGAAAGACAUUUUUUCUCCAAACAUAUUUAAAUUAGUCUUGAACUAAAUUUUUAUACCUCCAUUGUUAGAUUCAGCAGAAAUAUUAUACCUGGAGGAAAGUGUUCCUUUUUCAAAGUUUUCAUGUUUGAAACAAUGCAGGGAGGCAGUUUCAUCUCAACUGCUGAAACAGUGAGCUUCAAAAUGAUUGUUUCCAUCUCGAUCUUGCUGCUCUGAAGGACUGAAUUGGUUUCUUUAAUUGUAACUGUUGUAUUUCACCCCUGAGUGACAUCUGAGAUAUUCUGCACAUUGGUAUCGCCACUGUGGGCAUCCUUUGUAAGGCUGAUUUUUAAGAUGUUUCAUAAGUGUUUGAUGUAUACAGUGGACCCAACGUAAGAAAAUUCCAUUUAAAAUGGUGUCUUGCCUACAAAGUUAAAAUUAUUGGGUCCAAAAAGUAGUAACAAAAGAAUAAUGUAUUUAUAUCCUGUUUAAAACGUUUCCUGCAAUAAAAGGUAUUCCUGCUGAAGAACAGUGAUUUUAAAGACACUUAUGAAACAUUUUACCCGUUUAAUGUAUUUCUGUUGGAUUAUGCGUACACAGUGUUGUAAUGAAGUUCCCGGACUGACGCUAUUACAGGAAUAUUACUAAUUCCAUCUAUUGGGAAUGAACAGGAAUAGUUAGAGAGAAAGUCUAUUUGAAUGAUGUGCAAGUUUGGUUGCUGCAUAUGAGGAUUACAAUUGUUUUGGUGAAGUUAGCUUUUUGUCGUGUUGAAGGUUUCAAAAUGAAACAAAGUAGCUAUGGAGUUUUGUGUAAAAUUAAAGAAAAUAGCUACUGACAUGUUUGAAAUGUUGGAAAGUGUGUAUGGUGAAGAAUGUUUAUUGAUAACAAGUGUGUUUGAAUGCAUAAAAGGUACAUAGAAGCUCAGAAUGUGAGAAUGCAAAAAUCGUGGGUGAAAACAAUGUUGACUGCAUUUUUUGAUGAUAAAGUUAUUAUUCAUUAUGAAUUUGCAUUGGAAAAACAGACUGUAAAUGGUAUAAUUUCACAAAGAGGUGAUUAAGAAAUUGGUUGCUCAAGUUCAUCGUGUUAGGGCUGAGUUUCAGGAAAGUUGGCCAUGGUAUCUUUUGCACAACAAUGCACCAGCAUCCCACCAGGGAUCCCCAUCUUAUCCCAUCUUCUCUACUUCCCUCAUUUAGCACCGACUGACUUUUUUCUAUUCCCUGAAUUAAAAAUGUUGAUGAAAGGGAGGAGAUUCAAGGCUGUUUCAUUAAUCCAACAGACUGAUAAGAGAACUGAAGGUGACAUGGAAAGAAGCAUUUUCUCGGGCAUUUAGUUCAUUGUAUGAGCAAUGUAAACAUUGUGUGGAAGUGGGUGGGGACUAUAUUGAGUGAUGGUAUUAAUACACAUUUUUAUCGUUUUUGUGUGUUUUUAUGGCCUCAGUUCUGGAACUUAAUUGUCACACUGUAUAUACAGAAAUAAAUCGGAAAUACAGUAAAUGCUCACAUAAAUCAAACGUUACAGUGCUUAGCAGCACUCAGUUGCACUUGGUGAGUGGUGGAAGAUGGGUGGAAUUAGUGGUGAUUUUCUGACCUCUAUCCAUAUAGCUGGUAGCAUGGUCUUUUUCGAACAAGUAUGUUGAAUUUUAUGAGGUUGCAUGGACGUAAACUGGAAUGUGUGUUAUAUAUGGCUAUGAAAACAAACAUAAAUCAUAAGGUGUUACCAGUUUCUGAGAAACUGUAGGUCAUUAAGAAGGUGAAUUUUCGCCCAUAUGUGAUGUGCACAAAUGUUAUGGAACAGCUUAGCAUAAUAGUAUUAUUGAUAAGUAGCAUUAUGGCAAACACACAAAAAAAAAACUUAAGCAAUGUAACUACUCAACCAGUCAGAGAAAAUUUAAAAACUUUUAAAUAUAAGAAGACUGAAUCAA